UUGCACCUAUUGAUAGACAAGGUUCCUCACUUCCUCCUACUGUUUAUGGAACAUUGCUUCUAGGUGCAGAAGAAAAAGCUGUCUACAGCAGUGUCUAGACAACCGUAGAGAUUGAUCCACAGAUGAUUAGUUUACAAUUCAAGCCAUCGACUAAUUCUUUCUCAUAUUU